AGUGAACGCCGGCGGUAGGCCUAACACAUGCAAGUCGAACGGCAGCACAGUAAGAGCUUGCUCUUACGGGUGGCGAGUGGCGGACGGGUGAGGAAUACAUCGGAAUCUACUUUUUCGUGGGGGAUAACGUAGGGAAACUUACGCUAAUACCGCAUACGACCUACAGGUGAAAGCAGGGGAUCUUCGGACCUUGCGCGAUUGAAUGAGCCGAUGUCGGAUUAGCUAGUUGGCGGGGUAAAGGCCCACCAAGGCGACGAUCCGUAGCUGGUCUGAGAGGAUGAUCAGCCACACUGGAACUGAGACACGGUCCAGACUCCUACGGGAGGCAGCAGUGGGGAAUAUUGGACAAUGGGCGCAAGCCUGAUCCAGCCAUACCGCGUGGGUGAAGAAGGCCUUCGGGUUGUAAAGCCCUUUUGUUGGGAAAGAAAAGCAGCAGGUUAAUACCCCGCUGUUCUGACGGUACCCAAAGAAUAAGCACCGGCUAACUUCGUG
rnacentral:rRNA from 1 species